UGAGCAAUCUGCCCUUCUCAUCGGAAUAAGCGUUGGAAACGACGUCUAAUGCCGAAUACGACCUCCU
rnacentral:rRNA from 1 species